GAUGAACGCUGGCGGCGUGCCUAAUACAUGCAAGUCGAGCGUACAGACGAGGAGCUUGCUCCUCUGACGUUAGCGGCGGACGGGUGAGUAACACGUGGAUAACCUACCUAUAAGACUGGGAUAACUUCGGGAAACCGGAGCUAAUACCGGAUAAUAUAUUGAACCGCAUGGUUCAAUAGUGAAAGACGGUUUUGCUGUCACUUAUAGAUGGAUCCGCGCCGCAUUAGCUAGUUGGUAAGGUAACGGCUUACCAAGGCAACGAUGCGUAGCCGACCUGAGAGGUUGACCGGCCACAGGGACAGUGAGCCCGGGCCAAGCCCCCAGGGGGGGGCGCGAGGAGGAACGCUUCGCAAAGGGGGAAAAGCAGGAGGGAGCACGGCGGCGGGGGGAAAGAAGUUUUUAGGACGUAAAACCUUUUUUAUGAGGAAAAAAAAAUUUUGAAAUUAAAUAUCCCCUCCUUGAGGGUACCUAAUAAAAAGCCCAGGGCAAACUCGGUG
rnacentral:rRNA from 1 species